rnacentral:lncRNA from 1 species
AUUUUUCCUGGGAUUUUCUCAUUUCUUCUUGGAUUAUCCCAUUUUUCCUAGGUUUUUCCCCCUUUUUCCUGGGUUUUCCCCAUUUUUCCUGGGAUUUCUCCCAUUUUUCCUGGGAUUUUCCCAUUUUUUCCUUGGGCUUUCCCAUUUUCCUCACUUUUUUUUCCCCAUUUUUUUCUUGGGUUUUCCCAGUUUUCCUUGGAUUCUCCACAUUUUUCCCCAAUUUUUCCCCAAUUUUUCCCAUUCCUCCCCCGCCAUUUUUCCCAUUUUUCCUGGGAUUUUCUCAUUUCCUCUUGGGUUUUCCCAUUUUUCCCAGGUUUUUUCCCAUUUUCCUGGGGUUUUCCCAUUUUUCCCCAUCUCUCCCAUUUUUCCUGGCAUUUUCCCCAUUUUUCCUGGCAUUUUCCCCAUUUUUCCUGGGGUUUUCCCAUUAUUCCCCAUUUCUCCCAUUUUUCCUGGGAUUUUUCCCAUUUUUCCUGUGAUUUCCCCCAUUUUUCCUGGGAUUUUCCCCAUUUUUCCUGGGAUUUUCCCAUUUUUUUCCUUGGGUUUUCCCAUUUUCCCCACUUUUUUUCCCCCAUUUUUUCUUAGGUUUUCCCAUUUUUCCUGGGAUUUUCUCCCUUUUCCUUGGGCUGGUUUUCCCAUUUCUCUUGGAAUUUUCCUCUUUUUUUUAAAUUUUCCCAUUUUCCCAUGGGAUUUCCCAUUUUUUCUUGGUUUUUCCUCAUUUUUCCCCAAUUUUCCCCAAUUUUCCCAAUUUCCCCAUUUUCCCCCCAUUUUUCCCAGCUCCCCGUGGACGAUCCCAUCAUCUCUCAGGACGAGGUCAUUUCCCCAUUUUUUCCCCAUUUUUUCCCAAUUUUUUUCCCCAUUUUUUUCCCCAUUUUUCCCCAUUUUUUCCCAUUUUCCCCAAUUUUCCCAAUUUCCCCAUUUUCCCCCCAUUUUUCCCAGCUCCCCGUGGACGAUCCCAUCAUCUCUCAGGACGAGGUCAUUUUCCCCCUCACCGUGGCCCUGGACCGGCUCCCGCCCGGCACCGCCAAGGCCAAGGUGGGGACNNNNNNNNNNNNNNNNNNNNGAAUCCCAGGAUUUUCCCUCUGAAAUUCCGAGAAUUUCCC